GAUGAAGAACGUAGCGAAAUGCGAUAAGUAGUGUGAAUUGCAGAAUUCAGUGAAUCAUCGAAUCUUUGAACGCACAUUGCGCCCCUUGGUAUUCCAUGGGGCAUGCCUGUUCGAGCGUCAUUUGUACCCUCAAGCUCAGCUUGGUGUUGGGCCCCGCCGCCCCGGCGGGCCCUAAAGUCAGUGGCGGUGCCGUCCGGCUCCGAGCGUAGUAAUUCUUCUCGCUCUGGAGGUCCGGUCGUGUGCUCGCCAGCAACCCCCAAUUUUUUUCAGGUUGACCUCGGAUCAGGUAGGGAUACCCGCUGAACUUAAGCAUAUCAAUAAGCGGAGGA
rnacentral:misc_RNA from 1 species